rnacentral:lncRNA from 1 species
GAAUGGCCCAUAAGCAACCCUGAGUGGUGAUCAGAUUUAUUUUAAGAGUCAUCUCUGAGAGAUUUAAUUAUUUUAAGACUUUAGAUCCAACGUGUGAGUGCAGGCUCAUGAUUCCAGAGACUUCCUGUUCUGUGAAAAUGAAUCUUCACCUGAGGAUACGUUUUACAUGAUGACCUAAUCGAUGGGCUCCUAACAGGAUAUUCACACGUUUGUCUCUGGGCUCCCACAGAACAGCAGCAACUCUCCAGGACCAACGAAAGGUCCGACUGUCGCAGCCCGACUCAAACACCUCCAGCAGGGCAGCCUGGAGAGACCCAAAACCCGUAAACAGAAAGAGGACUUCCCUAAGGUCCAGGGCCAGCAGCAGUUUUUGUUCCAUCCUGUCUGCUUCUCAGGUCUCUCAGGUCUCAUCCGGACUGAUCACCUGAGGAGUGAGAACUCGGAUCAUUCUGGUUUUGGACUACUAAACCCUAAUCCACACCUCAGAGGUGUGACGUGUCAUUUGACCCGGCUGUCUGUUAAAGCGGCUCUGGACCUGCAUCAUGAAGCAGUUUGUCACAUUAAACAUGUAAAUCCAUUUUCCACCUGAGCUAACAAACGUCUGUGUCCCAGCUCCACUCCGGAAUAAUCCGCUCGCGGGCUCAAAAUGAAUCUAAAGGUCGACAGAGAGUUUUUAGAAGAAACUAAAUAACAAAGAAAAACAGGUGGAGGUGGUUUUUAGUUUUCUGCAGCAAGUCUUAAACCCAAGUUUAUUGUUCUGUGAAGAAUCAGAAGUGUUUAAGAGAAGGUUGAUGAAAUAUAGAUAAAAAUAAAAUGUUUACAAAAUACAGUAAAAUACCAGCUUGUUUUAUUAAGGCUGUUAUCUCUUUUUUUGUCAGAAUAAUAAUCUAUAAUGCUAAUGAUCUGUUAAACACACAGUUUAAAGAUGAAAAUAAGCAUCUUAAUUAUUAAAAUGUUUCAAAGCUCCAACCAUCAGCUGCUUGCUUCAGCUUUAAAAUCUUCCGAUGACCGCUGCCUGUUGAUGCGAAGGUUUCAACCGGAGAUCCACACGGAUGAGAGGAGAGAAUAAAAAAUAUUCGAUGGUUUUAUUAGUUUAAAAGUCUUUAUGUUAAUAUUUUAUUAUAGUUAACAAUAAAGUGUUUCAACCUUAAUGCAUUUUUAUUUACAGGCAAAUUCAUAGAACAAUGAUAAAAAAACUUUAAUAUUUAUCUUAAGAUGGACUAACGUUUGAUUUUUGUUUUCAAAGAAAAUCCGAAUCUGAAAGCUGAAACUGGGACUCAGAUGAUGGGUUAACAUUUAAAUCUUUAGAUGUCCUAAAAUGAUUUUUUAAAGUUUAAAUGAAACCUGAAGAUUUGAGCCGAAAAAUCUCCAAACGGGAAGAAAAUGUGUGGCAAGUCUUUGGAGGGAAUCUGAGUGUUUUAAUUGAAAUGAAUAAUAAUUACCUUGUAAAUGGAAUGUAUCUGUGGGCUCAGAUUAGAUUAAUAAUCCAGAAUUAGAGACGUUAACCUCCUCAGAUAUAUUGUAUGUAUAUUGUUCUAGAACCAUUUUGUUUUAGUUUUAAAGAGAACGUGUAAAAAGAGAAGUCAUCUAUGUUUUAUAGAAUCGAGUUCUUUUGUAUUUUUAUACUUGAAGAUUCAUAAACAUGUAACACAUUUAUUCUGUAAAUUAUUAUUUUUCUGAGUUAAAGAUUUUAUUUUUUCUGCGAACCAUAAAACGAACCAUGAUCACGUGAGACGCUCCGGAUAAGAACUGUAUAAACAAUUUAAAUAAUAAAAAAACAAAGCACAUGAGCCAAUCGGGACGUCAUGUCUGUAGCCGUUUCAUUCUAACCAAUCGUGUGCGUUCUCUCAGAUUACACUUUAACCUGUUUAUCGUUGGUUUCCUGAUGAGCGUGUGACUGUUUGACCGUCUGUGGAUGUUUGAAUCAUGUAUAUAAACCCUAAUGAGAUAUUAUCAAAUAAUUUUACGUGAAAGUUUUAUAUAGAAGAAAACAAAAGUCUGAAAAGGCAUGCAAUCUGUAAACAUUCCUGAAAUCUGCACGCUGACUCAACAGAUCUCAUCUAAAUUCAGUGUAAACCUGUGUGUGUACCAUAGAGUAAAAGUGUACAGAAAUAUAGGUUUUUGUAUUCCGUUGGAGCUCCGUCUGUCAAAAUAAAACACUAAAAUACUAACGGAGAAAUAAAUCCAAACAAUAUUAAUCAUCUAAAAGCUGUUCCUUCAGUUUGAAAGUGCUGCUUGCUGUGUGGGUCGGUGUUGUUCGUGAAUUGUGAAGAAGAACGAUGAUGAUCAAUAAACUGUAAAACAAAGCACAACUCUGUCAAUGAAAAGAAAAAAAGCUGCUGCUUUUUGUACAUUCCUGUUAUGUUUUUGUGACAAUAAAGGUGAUCCUCUGAUACGUCACAGCUAUCAGUGAAUCGUUGAAGCUCCAAAAGUCCUAAUCAUCUCCUAAAACUUGGAUUAGUGUGAAAUAGUUGAGAGAAGCUCUCAAUUUACCAGUCGAUCUAUAUUCCUACCAUCACCUAUGGUCAUGAGC